rnacentral:rRNA from 1 species
GAUGAACGCUGGCGGCGUGCCUAAUACAUGCAAGUCGAGCGAACGGACGAGAAGCUUGCUUUUCUGAUGUUAGCGGCGGACGGGUGAGUAACACGUGGAUAACCUACCUAUAAGACUGGGAUAACUUCGGGAAACCGGAGCUAAUACCGGAUAAUAUUUUGAACCGCAUGGUUCAAAAGUGAAAGACGGUCUUGCUGUCACUUAUAGAUGGAUCCGCGUUGCAUUAGCUAGUUGGUAAGGUAACGGCUUACCAAGGCAACGAUGCAUAGCCGACCUGAGAGGGUGAUCAGCCACACUGGAACUGAGACACGGUCCAGACUCCUACGGGAGGCAGCAGUAGGGAAUCUUCCGCAAUGGGCGAAAGCCUGACGGAGCAACGCCGCGUGAGUGAUGAAGGUCUUCGGAUCGUAAAACUCUGUUAUUAGGGAAGAACAUAUGUGUAAGUAACUGUGCACAUCUUGACGGUACCUAAUCAGAAAGCCACGGCUAACUACGUG